UCGGCCUGUGUCAAUCGAGGUUGAGUUUAGUGAGGGGUUGAAAGUUUUCGAUCUAGAUUGCAGAUCGCUAUUGUCACUUUAUACAAACUGAAAGUAUGCGUUGUUGCGUGUUUGUUUUUGUGGGCAUUUGACUGAACAGCCCAGACAAAUAUUGCUACCAACAUGGCACUUCGAAACAGACCACCGCAGUGUUGGAUGACUGACAAGAUCUAUGGGGGGGCCCCCUUUGGGCCCCCCCAUACCAACUUAGUCUUCAAAAGGAAUCUAGUGCCAUGGGACUCCAGUGUCUUCAAAACUUCCUCGGAAUGUGUAUGAUUGGUCCACCGAAGGGUUGAUCUGGAAGCCACCACGGUCCACGCAGUAAUCUGCUGCGUGGGCCGUAGUGGCUUCCAGAGCCAUCUUUCGGUCUUGGUCAGGAUUUGUUACAGUUGCCCUUCAAUGUAGCAGGCUACGGGUUUCUGAAGAAGCCUGCUUUACGUAGAAUUGGAGUACAAAUAUUGUGCAAAAUGCUCAUGUAAUUGCACCAGCACUAGUAACAUGUAGAUUAGCUUAGUUUAACGUCAUUCCGUGCUGUCUCUGUCAAAUGUGUGGCUUACUUUAAGUCCACAAGGCCCUCUGGUAAACCACGUUGGAACACCCCUGGACAAGGUGAUUAGUCACUGGGUGUGUGCUAAAGUUUUGUUCCAUUUUUCACUAGUUGGUUAAGGUUUGGUAGAAUUGUUUGGAUGCUAGCGACGUGAUGGCGUAUGUACAAGAGCCUACCGUGGCCAGGCCACAGUUGCGACGGCCAGAUGGCCUAGUGUGAGUGCAACCUUGAUUGCAUUUAUAUACUGUUUACCAUUGGAUGUUUAUGCAAUUUGGCUUAAUUCAUCCGCAGUAAAGCUGCAUUUGACUAUUCCAGGGUCGUUUUGUACAGGCUUUCAAUUGACCAUGUUGACUAGUUUGUGGGAUUUUCUUUAAGUUUUUUUACCCUUGCUUACAAUCCAACGGUUGUGACCACUUAUGCAACUGGGCUGUGAACCUUGCAAUUCUAGUUGCAUAUUUGUAUACGCAAGCUUGUCCAUUUCUAUCGCCAUCACUAACACUAGCUUCAGCAUUUCCUUGUAGGCCAUUAGCUGACUUGUGUAUUGGAGCGAUGAUUUGGGUAUUUUAAGAUGCUUGAAAACCUUAAAUAAAGCAAAAUGCGUGUCUGGUGUGCAAGAGCCAAUUUGUUGGCUUGCAGUAGUCGAGGAGUUGCCGUAGGUCGUAAGCCAUCUGGAGGUUGUGGCAAUGGAGGCUUGUGGUAGAUCUGCCAUCCAAGAAAGGUUAAUUCUUCUGAAGCAUGAUUAAUAGUUUAGUAAAUUGAAUCUAUUCAUAUAGAACUAUAAAAUCCAAGACUGCAGCCAGUAACUUGGAUCGCAAUAUGUGGAAAGUAUAGUCUUUAUUUGUCACAACAGAACAAUUAACAUGACUAACUGGGUUUCUUCCAUUUUCUAACUAGGGGGACUUGACUGGUGAGUCUACUGGAUUAAUCAGUAGCGGUACUUUGCCCAACUGAUUUGAUGGCAUGACUACAGGGUGACAAAGACAAUUAUUCCCUGCCUAUCAAAAGAGACUUCUAAAACAUAUCUGCUAGAACAGUUGCUAUACUUUUUGUAUAAUUUGGUCAUGCUGCAAAUUUACUUUUUGUAGUUGCUCCAUAUUUAGUUCUUUGACAGCCUCACCUGCUAGAAAAGUCUAUUCAAAUCGGCUAAAUAUAAUGAACUAAAUUAAUAGCCAUGAAAUGUUGUCACUCAUACUAAUGGCAAAUACCCUCUUUCAGUUGGUGGUUCAACACUGAUGUCUCUCUAGGCUUGAGGGAGAGCUCACAAGUAAAUUACACCAAUGUCCUGGAGGAAUUGGGAAUACACUUUUAUUUAGUCUACCUGACCAGGGACAUCUUUGAACUACAGGUCACCUAACCCAAACUUUUCACUCUUGUUAGGUUGUCCUUUUCUCUUGUUUUAAACCCGAAAGGGCUGAAAUAUCAACAUUUCAGGUAUUCUGUUUGGAUAAUGUGCAAAACUUGUGGCUUCACUAAUAAAAAAAAUUAACAAAUGUAUUUUUCUUAAUGUGGUUAAACUAUUUAAAGAUUUGCAUUCAAAAUGUUUCUGCUCAAUUUGUGGUCAAUGAAACUCUG
ensembl:lncRNA